GAAGAAGAUCUCACAGUUGGAAGUUGGAACUUGGAAAUUGAAAAAUCUGCAUACACCUGAACUUUUCAUCAUUUGAGGGAAACAUGCUGUGAGGACAGGAUGCAGCAACUAACCAACAGAACAAGUCGAGGGAGGACAGGAAAGAACAGUCAAGGAAACACCGUGAUAACAUUUUUAAAAACUGAAUGAGGCAAGAUCACUGCUGGGGAUGCAAAUCAGGAAGGCACACUAAGUACAGGGAAGGAGAACCAAGCCAACAGGGAAUCUGGCUGGGACGCAACAUGGACAGAAAUGUCAAAGUUCAAGCUCUGGCUGUACUGCACAAAUCAAGAAUAUGGACCAAGUCAGCUUGAUGGCAAAGAUGGCAUCACUGACGGAUGAAUGGGGAGGGCUCUACCCUUGCUUGAGCCAACAGUCGGCCAUUGCGUUGACAGUGCCCAUCUCAACAGUGAACUGUGGGAGAGUUCUAUGCAAUGAACACAGAAAGAUAUUUGGUCAACUGUACAAUGUACAGAACUAUACAAUGUCACUUAGAGAUGCUUGUGAAGACAGACCUGAGGAACCGACUGCAGUGUGUUGUGUAGGUGAAGACAGACCUGAGGAACCGGCUGCAGGGGGACUGGAAACAUUCCUCACAUUGACUAUAAAUGGGACCACCGAUUGCUGAUUUCCCUUAUAAAAGAGCCCUCACAUUGUUUUAAGAAAAAUCAAAAUAAAAUGCAGGCAGGAUGCCAACUUUGCAAA